rnacentral:rRNA from 1 species
UAGGGAAUCUUCGGCAAUGGACGGAAGUCUGACCGAGCAACGCCGCGUGAGUGAAGAAGGUUUUCGGAUCGUAAAGCUCUGUUGUAAGAGAAGAACGAGUGUGAGAGUGGAAAGUUCACACUGUGACGGUAUCUUACCAGAAAGGGACGGCUAACUACGUGCCAGCAGCCGCGGUAAUACGUAGGUCCCGAGCGUUGUCCGGAUUUAUUGGGCGUAAAGCGAGCGCAGGCGGUUAGAUAAGUCUGAAGUUAAAGGCUGUGGCUUAACCAUAGUAGGCUUUGGAAACUGUUUAACUUGAGUGCAAGAGGGGAGAGUGGAAUUCCAUGUGUAGCGGUGAAAUGCGUAGAUAUAUGGAGGAACACCGGUGGCGAAAGCGGCUCUCUGGCUUGUAACUGACGCUGGGGCUCGAAAGCGUGGGGAGCAAACAGGAUUAGAUACCCUGGUAGUCCACGCUGUAAACGAUGAGUGCUAGGUGUUAGACCCUUUCCGGGGUUUAGUGCCGUAGCUAACGCAUUAAGCACUCCGCCUGAGGAGUACGACCGCAAGGUUG